rnacentral:misc_RNA from 1 species
CUCUCGGGGAGAUUUCCGGUCUGUCGGUGCAAGGGACUGCCUAGGCACUGCUAGUUGUACCGAUCAGAAUGGUUGUAGAGAGCGUGCAUUUGGAGGCUGAUGCCUAUAUGGUGUGUUUAACACAUGCACUAUCUACGGAAAGAGAGGAGGUGAUGGGGCUACUCAUAGGAGAGGUAAUAAAAGGAAAUGGCGUUGUGACCUACUUUCUCUGUGUCUCAGCUGAUCAGCUGGAAACCGGUCAUGCGUAAAAAAUAUAUAAUAUUUUAGCAAUUUGAAUUCUUAAAUUUUCCUGAAUUUGUGAAUUUCGAAGUGAAAAGCCAAUUUUGAACACAUUUUGACAACAUUUUCAUUUUGCCAAACUACGUUGUUAAAAAGCAAAAAAAAUGACAUAAGAUUAUAAUGUAUAUAAACUUGAUAAGUACAGUAUUCAUGUUUCUGAUGAAUCAAUAUGUUCGAUAUGCAUUCAGGUGGAUGAAAAUAGAGUUCUACACAUCUUCUCUGUGAUCAUGUUAAGAAGAUCGGACAAACAGCCAGACAGAGUGGAGAUCUCUCCUGAACAACUCUCUGAUGCCUCGAGCAAGGCUGAGAGACUAGCCCAGCAGUAUAACCGACCUCUGAGAGUCCUAGGCUGGUAUCACUCUCACCCCCACAUCACAGUCUGGCCAUCACAUGUUGAUGUUAGGACACAGGCCAUGUAUCAGAUGAUGGAUGAAGGAUUCAUUGGGCUUAUCUUCUCUGUUUUCAAUGAAGACAAAUCUACAAAGAGUUACAGACACCAGUUGACCUGUUUCCAGUCCAUCAAUCAAGCAAUGGAUGGCUACCCACCACAGUACGCUCGAGUCGAAGUCCCUCUCCACAUUGUCCCCAGCUCAGGAUUAGGAAAAGCGUGUUUGGAAUCUCUGAUUGAACUUCCCAAGAUCCUCUGUCAGGAGGAAGAGGAAGAGUACAAGAAGGCGACGGCCGACCCUGAACUAGAUCUGAUCACCAAACUCCAGAACUCCUCAGUGUUUACAAAAUCUUUGUGCCAUAUCAUGGAAGUCAUGCACGGACCAUUAAUACAAUCCCUAGAGAGUCGUUUGGAACAGAACAAUGCAAAGAUCGCAGAAUUAGAAAAAAGGCAAGCAGAAAUUCAAAAACUCAUCGACAGGAAUUAGUUGUCGUUGUUUUUAUACAAAUGUUGUUUAUUAGUUGUUUGUUGGUUAUAAAUGUAAGAUAUUAUAUGCCUGUCUUUCUUGUAAAUAAAAUGUCCUUUCU